UGGAAUCGAGUUUGUAAAUGCCACAUCAUUUUCAUACUUCUAGACCAAAUCAGGAGCAGCUAAGGAGUUGGAGCAGAUCAGGAAACUUGAGGAGGACAUAAAUGUCCAGAGAGAUGAUAACUCAACUCCUCCCACUUCUUCUCCUGCCUUUGUGCCACCCCCACCUCCACCUUCAGCUCCAGUCAAGCCCCCUCUAGUGCUGCCUGCUAGAGGAAACCCAGAGGCGGCCCGAGAGGUUUUUCUGGAGGCCAUUCGCUCAGGCUCUGGGGCUCAAUGCCUGAGGAAGCACAAACGGUCAAGAUCCUACUUUGCUCCUUGGCUGUGGAAUGAAUUUCAAAUUAAUGCUCAACUAGAAUGAAUUCCUUCUUUGAAUGUGUUUAAAAAUAUAUUGUGAUGUAAAAUGAAUGAAGUGUGUGGCUGUUUUAAUUAAUUUGGUGACAUAUGAUUAAUGUUAUUGUAUUUACCUUGUCUGUUUAGAAUUUGUUUUAUGUGUUUUGUAAUUAUGUGAAAUUUUAAUACGGCCAUCUUGGCCAGGACUCCCUGGAAGAAGAGAUUUCUUUUAAUCUCAAUGGGACCUUCCUGGAAAAAUAAAGGUUAAAUAAA